rnacentral:rRNA from 1 species
AUGGCGGUGGCGUCGACUCCGCCUCUGCAGCUUGUCGUAGCCGCGCUUCUUGCGCUGUCCCUGUCCACUACAGCGUCCUCGUCGCCUGCGCCGGCGAACCGGAGCAGCUGCUACAAGCGUCUAUUCAGCUUCGGCGACUCUCUGACCGACACCGGCAACUACAUCAUCCACUACUCCAACGCGUCAGGGCCCGUCCUAGCGCUGCCAUACGGCGAGACCUUCUUCGGCCACCCCACCGGCCGAUGGUCCGACGGCCGCCUCAUCAUCGAUUUCAUCGUGGAGAGGCUGGGGUUCCAGUACUGGCCGGCGUACCUGAAGGGGGCAGCCGGGAAGUCGCCGGCGGAGGAAUUCCGGUACGGCGCCAAUUUUGCGGUUGCGGCCGCCACGGCGCUGAGCCAGGAUUUCUUCCUGAAAAAGAACAUGGACCUGCUUACCCCGAGCCCGAUCCCCCCUUACUCCCUCGGCGUCCAGAUCGACUUGUUCAAGAAAGUGCUCGCCAUGAUUGCCUCCACGGACCAAGAGAGGAAUGAGGUGAUGGCGAGCUCGCUGUUCCUGGUGGGGGAGAUCGGCCUCAACGACUACAACCACCCCUUCUUGCAGAACAAGACCAUGGAAUGGGUCAGGCCCCUCGUGCCCCAGGUCAUCAGGUCCAUCGUUCUGUCCAUCGAGGCUCUGAUCGAGCUGGGCGCCAAGACCAUGUACGUGCCGGGCAUCUUCCCGCUGGGGUGUACCCCGCUGUACCUCUCCCUCUUCCCCGGCGACGACCGCGACCCUGCCACGGGCUGCAUCCGGGGGCUCAACGACCUCAUCCUCGUCCACAACCACAUGCUGGAAGCCAAGCUCGAGGAGCUCCGCCGCGACCACCCCAGCGUGUCCAUCACCUACGUCAACUCCUACGACAACGUCCUCGGCCUCAUCACAGCGCCCACACAAAACGGCUUCGACAAGGAAAUGGUGCUGGAGGCGUGCUACCCCGUCUUCAUUUCCGGGUCGGCGGCGGUGCCGUGCCUGGACCCCUCGAGGCACGUGAAUUUCGACGGCCUGCACAUGACGGAGGCGGCGUACAAGCUCAUGGCCCGCGGGAUGCUCGACGGCCCGUUCGCCGCGCCGCCUAUCAUGUCCACAUGCAACCACAGCUGCUAG